AGAGAAGCAAUACCGCGAGGUGGAGCAAAACUUCAAAAAUGGUCUCAGUUCGGACUGUAGGCUGCAACUCGCCUACACGAGGUUGGAAUUGCUAGUAAUCGUGGAUCAGCAUGCCACGGUGAAUACGUUCCCGGGUCUUGUACACACCGCCCGUCACACCAUGGGAGCUGGUAACACCCGAAGUCAGUAGUCUAACCGCAAGGAGGACGCUGCCGAAGGUGGGAUUAGCGACUGGGGUGAAGUCGUAACAAGGUAAC
rnacentral:rRNA from 1 species